UACGAAGGGGGCUAGCGUUGCUCGGAAUCACUGGGGCGUAAAGGGCGCGUAGGCGGCGUUUUAAGUCGGGGGUGAAAGCCUGUGGCUCAACCACAGAAUGGCCCUCGAUACUGGGACGCUUGAGUAUGGUAGAGGUUGGUGGAACUGCGAGUGUAGAGGUGAAAUUCGUAGAUAUUCGCAAGAACACCGGUGGCGAAGGCGGCCAACUGGACCAUUACUGACGCUGAGGCGCGAAAGCGUGGGGAGCAAACAGG
rnacentral:rRNA from 1 species